GAAGUUAUAAUAACAAGUUUAAUAAUGCAUGAAAUUGGUGUGGAAUGCCUCUAAAUAGAGUAACAAGUGAAUAUGCAAUAGGGUGACUUUAUGAUUAUGUGAGAGUUCCAUGGUGUGGAAUAUUUGAGUGCUUGAAUGUGUUAUGUUAUAAAGUAUGUUUGAAUGUAUGAGUGGUUGUGGGUGACUAUUGGCUUGGAAAAUAGCCUUUAAACAAUCCACAUGGGUAAACACAUGGGCGUGUGUCUAGUCUGUGUGUGACACACGGUCUCCCC
rnacentral:lncRNA from 1 species